GUGCCAGCCGCCGCGGUAAUACCGGCAGCCCGAGUGAUGGCCGCUAUUAUUGGGCCUAAAGCGUCCGUAGCCGGCCAGACAGGUCCGUCGGGAAAUCCAUCCGCUUAACGGAUGGGCGUCCGGCGGAAACCAGCUGGCUUGGGGCCGGAAGAUUCGGGGGGUACGUCCGGGGUAGGAGUGAAAUCCCGUAAUCCUGGACGGACCACCGGUGGCGAAAGCGCCUCGGAAAGACGGACCCGACGGUGAGGGACGAAAGCUAGGGUCACGAACCGGAUUAGAAACCCUAGUAGUCC
rnacentral:rRNA from 1 species